rnacentral:rRNA from 1 species
UACGGGGGGGCAAGCGUUGUUCGGAAUUACUGGGCGUAAAGGGCUCGUAGGCGGCCAGCUAAGUCAGACGUGAAAUCCCUCGGCUUAACCGGGGAACUGCGUCUGAUACUGGAUGGCUCGAGUGUGGGAGAGGGAUGCGGAAUUCCAGGUGUAGCGGUGAAAUGCGUAGAUAUCUGGAGGAACACCGGUGGCGAAGGCGGCUCACUGGCCCGGAACUGACGCUGAGGUGACGAAGCG